GACAGCAGCCGCCGCGGGAAUACGAAGGGUGCAAGCGUUACUCGGAAUUACUGGGCGUAAAGCGUGCGUAGGUGGUGGUUUAAGUCCGUUGUGAAAGCCCUGGGCUCAACCUGGGAAUUGCAGUGGAUACUGGGUCACUAGAGUGUGGUAGAGGAUAGUGGAAUUUCCGGUGUAGCAGUGAAAUGCGUAGAGAUCGGAAGGAACAUCUGUGGCGAAGGCGACUAUCUGGGCCAACACUGACACUGAGGCACGAAAGCGUGGGGAGCAAACAGGAUUAGAUACCCCGGUAGUCCCUGUCUCUUAUAA
rnacentral:rRNA from 1 species